rnacentral:rRNA from 1 species
AUGCAAGUCGAGCGCGAAAGCACUUCGGUGUGAGUAGAGCGGCGGACGGGUGAGUAACGCGUAGGAAUCUACCUAGUAGUGGGGGACAACUCGGGGAAACUCGAGCUAAUACCGCAUAAGCCCUACGGGGGAAAGCGGGGGACCUUCGGGCCUCGUGCUAUUAGAUGAGCCUGCGUUGGAUUAGCUAGUUGGUGGGGUAAAGGCCUACCAAGGCGACGAUCCAUAGCUGGUCUGAGAGGAUGAUCAGCCACACCGGGACUGAGACACGGCCCGGACUCCUACGGGAGGCAGCAGUGGGGAAUAUUGCGCAAUGGGCGAAAGCCUGACGCAGCCAUGCCGCGUGUGUGAAGAAGGCCUUCGGGUUGUAAAGCACUUUCAAUUGGGAGGAAAGGUUCACGGUUAAUAACCGUGAGCUGUGACGUUACCUUUAGAAGAAGCACCGGCUAACUCCGUGCCAGCAGCCGCGGUAAUACGGAGGGUGCGAGCGUUAAUCGGAAUUACUGGGCGUAAAGCGCGCGUAGGUGGUCUGUUAAGUCGGAUGUGAAAGCCCCGGGCUCAACCUGGGAACUGCAUUCGAUACUGGCAGACUAGAGUGCGAGAGAGGGAGGUAGAAUUCCAUGUGUAGCGGUGAAAUGCGUAGAUAUGUGGAGGAAUACCAGUGGCGAAGGCGGCCUCCUGGCUCGACACUGACACUGAGUGCGAAAGCGUGGGGAGCAAACAGGAUUAGAUACCCUGGUAGUCCACGCCGUAAACGAUGUCUACUAGCUGUAGGGUACUUGAGACCUUUGUAGCGCAGCUAACGCACU